rnacentral:rRNA from 1 species
UACGUAGGGGGCAAGCGUUGUCCGGAUUCAUUGGGCGUAAAGAGCGCGCAGGCGGUCGUUCAAGUCGCGUGUGAAAGCCCCCGGCUCAACUGGGGAGGGUCACGCGAUACUGAUCGACUGGAAGGCAGGAGAGGGUAGUGGAAUUCCCGGUGUAGUGGUGAAAUGCGUAGAUAUCGGGAGGAACACCAGUGGCGAAGGCGACUACCUGGCCUGUUCUUGACGCUGAGGCGCGAAAGCUAGGGGAGCAAACGGG